GGGCAGUUACCAGAGUGGCCAAAUGGGGCAGACUGUAAAUCUGCUGGCUUACGCCUACGGUGGUUCGAAUCCAUCACUGCCCACCU
rnacentral:tRNA from 1 species